GCUCUCUCUUUCCCCGUUUCUCUCUCUUCUCUCUCUGUUCUCCCGGUCUUCCUCUAUGCUCUUCAGGGUUUUAAUAUCCUCCUGCGAUUGAAGUUUUGGCAGACUCUCUCUCCGAUCUCUCGGUCAGACAGGGCUGUGGUGGUUAGGGUUUUCUCAUAUCAUCGUGCGAUUGUGGGUCGCCGGUCGGAGCUCAUCAGAUCAAGACUAUCACCUCUUGAAGAUGUGCUUGAUCAUGUCAUUGAAAACCCACUUAAUUCAGCCAACCAAGGAUCGAGGCUUCAAUGGUUUUGGUAGGCGAGCCUGUAUUUUGCAGUUAAGGUGCAGUAGGUAUGUGGUAAGAUCAAGCUAAGUCGAAUGAAAACAAACAGUAAACAAUGAGAAAUCAAGAGAAAAAUAGAGUGUAACAGUUUGUAUUGAUACCGAUUUUUCUCAAGUACCGAUACAACUCGCAUGGAUGUUCGAGAGGUCCAGCUCUCUCCCCUUUUUGUCACUUAACCCAAAAACGACUUGUCCCACACCACCACCCUCACCCCUCAUUUAUUAACCAUAACAGAAAAACACUAAUACCCCUGUACAGAAAACACCCAUAACAUGUGUAAACCCAGCCCAGUGACACUAAGCCCAGCCCACUGACACAUCACCCUGCACUUAGCGCACCUGCUUGGCACGCCUGGCAUAUGUAAACCGAAUUGGGGGCUUAUCAGUAUGAUGAAUUGUUGCAGAGUUCCGAGGCAUUUGCUGAAGACUUGGCUGUUGGAUAUGGUUCUAUGUUUUUCCACUCUAAAUCUGACAGAUUUUACGUGGAUAUGCUGACGGGCUUAGAGAACCGUCUGCGUUUGGAUUUAGAAGUCGGUGGCUCUGUGAAUAAAGCCAUAAAUGAUCUGCACUCCUCUAAAGGAUUUAGAGUUCGAAUAUUCAAGAUCAUUCGCCAUUCAGAGGCGUUUUGCAGACCGUGUUGUCUCCUUGUCUUUUACUAAGAAGGUGUUCAUAUAUACCCUUUCUUGUGGCUAGCUAAUGAUAGUGCUAUAGAUUUUGCUUUGGAAUUCUAGAGGUUGUCCCGUGAUGAGAGACUGGUUCAUUUUGUGUCUUUUACACACCUAUUUGGAGCAAGAAAAAGAAGAGCUCUUGGUGCUUUGAAUGCAAGGGGUGGUGAAGAUAGAGUGAGAUUGGCAGAAGAUGGAGUUAUUGACGAGGCAAGAAAAGCCAUCCAACUUGGAAAAACAACUGAUGUAGUCGUGGAGCCUAUCCAUGUCAAAAGAGGCGGAAAAUGUAGCUCCAUUGGAGAGUUUUUGCGGUUCCUACAUCAUGCCUGUGAUGCCUCCAGGGCACAUAUUUGGCAGAAGUUUCCUGGUAGGCACUUUAGACAGCUAUUGGAGAAGAUCAUGGGAGGUAAUUGAUAAGUCUUUACUCAGGCAAGUGUACAUUAGGAGGAAUAAAGGCUUAGGAAGGGGCGAGGUCUGGUCGGGAUGAAGUUGUUUUCAGCUUACAGUGGGAACUUGUAGUAUUAGUAGUUUACUUACUUAGAACGCUGGUGAGAGGGGAAUGUGUGAGGAAUGUAUAAAAGGGGAGGGGUGAGGAAUAGAAAGGGGGAUCGGGAAUAAUCAGGGAAUUGUACAAAUCUUGGAAACGUUCCAAGAAAUGGGAGGUAGCAGACCCUCAAAGAUCUGCGGGCUGGUGUACAUGUCAUGUUGCUAAUAAAAUUCUUCAAUUGAUUCUUUCUUUUCUUCUCUCGAUUCUUUCCAUUUGCCCCUAUCUAGAUUUUGUC